rnacentral:rRNA from 1 species
GACGAACGCUGGCGGCGUGCUUAACACAUGCAAGUCGAACGGAAAGGCCCUGCUUUUGUGGGGUGCUUGAGUGGCGAACGGGUGAGUAACACGUGAGUAACCUGCCCUUGACUUUGGGAUAACUUCAGGAAACUGGGGCUAAUACCGGAUAGGAGCUCCUGCUGCAUGGUGGGGGUUGGAAAGUUUCGGCGGUUGGGGAUGGACUCGCGGCUUAUCAGCUUGUUGGUGGGGUAGUGGCUUACCAAGGCUUUGACGGGUAGCCGGCCUGAGAGGGUGACCGGCCACAUUGGGACUGAGAUACGGCCCAGACUCCUACGGGAGGCAGCAGUGGGGAAUAUUGCACAAUGGGCGGAAGCCUGAUGCAGCAACGCCGCGUGCGGGAUGACGGCCUUCGGGUUGUAAACCGCUUUCGCCUGUGACGAAGCGUGAGUGACGGUAAUGGGUAAAGAAGCACCAGCUAACUACGU